AACACUAUUUCACCAUGUGGUAAGCAGCUGAGCAUAUUUGAUAUGACAAAGCUUUCUUAAGUCUUGCUAAUAGCAGGAUGGCUGGAAACAUCUGAUGAAAUAGACUUUUCCAUUGUGUAGAAAUGUUCCAUAUUAAGCAAUGAACCUAACUUGUAUUUGCAAGUACAAGGAUAAAAAGGAGAGAUGAAAAGGAAAUUUUAAACUGAGGAAAAUAACCAUUCUAGAGGGAUGCCCACAACGGAACUGUGGCUCUUGUCUUUGGAAAAAUCAGAUAUUUUUGGCAUUCUGAUAUUUUGCUUGCAUAAAUCUGCUACAUUUUGGUUUGCAUGUAUUCCUUUGUUAUAAAUAUGUGCAUAAUGUACAAUAAAAUAUAAACAAAUCAAA